AUUAUGUUGGCACUAGAAUGUACAGAAUUUAUCUAAUCUAAGGUUUUUUUAUAUGAGUAGAAUCACUGUGGUAUUAUGAUAAGAAAAUCUUCAGUAAAGGAAUGAAACUGGUUGUGACAGAUAAAGACUUCAAUGGAGACAUUUCCCCCAGGACCACCAUUUUUCUUCCUUCAGUGGCUGAAACAAAUCUCCAUAAGGCAGGGACAUAUCUCUGUCUUCUGGGGAAUUGUUUCCCCGAUAUUGUUAAGGUAUAUUUGAAAGAAAAGGAUGGGAAUAUGGUUUUAGAAUCCCAUCAGGGAGAUGCCAUGAGGACCAAUGACACUCACAUGAAGUUUAAUUGGUUAACUGUGACUGGAGACCCAAUGGAUGAAGAGCACAAAUGUAUCAUUACACACCAGAAUAAUAAAGGAGAAGUUGAUCAAGAGAUUCUGUUUCCUCCCAUAGGGAAAGGUGGCACCGAUAUUAGUCCUACAGAAGCAGAUCUGAAAGAAGAAAAUGGUGUCAGUACUGCUUAUCCUGAGGCUUUGCUGAAAAGCAAAAAAGGGCUGGGCUAAGCACCCUUCAUGGUCCAGGACUUCUUCACCAUAGCACAGCACAGCUGCCCCAUGAGGAAGGAACCUGGUGAAGUGGGAGGACUCAGGACCAGAAGUCACAUGUCACAACCAGAGUGAGCCCUGGCUACUGAGCCAUUUUCUACCUAUCUGUAUGAUUUGUUCUUUAAAAA